CAGGGUUUGUGAGGGGGAGAGAGGUGAGAUGUGGAUUGCAAGAAGUAGUCUGUGGCCGAUUAUAUCAGGCUUUGGAGGUUUUUUAUAAGGAUCUGGCUUUUAUCCUAAAUAAGCUAGGGAGCCAAUGAAGGGUUUUGAGCAGAGAAGUGUCAUGAUCUAAAUCAUAUGUUUAAAGCAUCAGACUGGCUGCUGUGUUGAGAAUAAACUGGUGGGCUAAGGCAGCAGGAGGGAGACCAGCUAGGAGGUGAUUGCAGGAAGUCAAGCAAGUGAUAAUGGGCUUGUACCCAGCUAGUGGGGUUCCAGUUAGUGAUGUUGAAAGUGUUGAAAAGUGUUCCGUUUCUGCUUUUUUUUAAAUGUGAAACCAACAGGACAUGCCAGUGAUUAUAAAGCAUAUGAUGAUGAUAUAGGAUAAAGGAAGAGAGGAGUUAAUUAAAUAUGACACUGAUGUUUUUAUCCUGAACAAAUGGAAGGAAGGAAUUGCUGAAAUAGAGACGUCUCUGAAGAGCAGAAGCUGUUUUGAACAUUGCAGUUUGAAAUACCUAUUAGACCUCUGCUUGGAGAUCCCAAACAGGAAAAAUCAGUGGUUAUGGUCAGAAAGUGGGAAGCUUGAAGUUGAGAUUAUCAAGUUAAUAUCAGUGCAGUCAUUGGUAAUGAUAAGUUCUAGGAUCUAAGCAAUGGGAAGAAAGAAGUUGGCUGAAGAAAUGAUGGAAAUUAAUUAUAUAAUUGAAGAAAAAGAAGUCAAGGCACUGAGAGCAUGUUCAGUUGGCAGAAAUUCCAUGACAGCAUCUACAAGGGCAUAUUGGAGAGAGUGAGGGUAAGCUUGGAGUUUUCGCUCGUUGAACUUGUUCUCGUGAGCCUAUGAAUCUGGAGAAUCUUAUCCUUCUGUUCUAGGGAAGUUUUAAAAUCCUUUCUUUUAUAAUUUCUCCCCUCUGUUUUCUACAUUUUGUCUUUCUUAAAGUCCUGUUAGUAAAUGAUGGUCUCCUAGUUCAAUUACCUGAUUUACUUGACUCUUCCAUUUUUCCAUCCCUUUGUCUUUUUACUUAGUUUCUUGAAGACUUACCUUCCAGCCCUUUUAUUGAAUCUGUUAUUUCUGUUACCCUAUUUUCAUUUACCAAGAAUGAUUUCUUAUGCUCUACAUACUCCUUUUUUCAUGUAACCACACAUUCUUAUUUUGCAGAUGUAACAUUUUAUCUUUUUUUUGAGGUCAAUAAUAUGUUUAAGUGUUCUUUUCACUGCACUUUUUGUUACUCCAAGUUGCCUUUAUUCAUUUAUUUGUUUAUUUUAAUCUUUAAUAUUUUAUGUUGGAGACUUUCCUCACAUGUCUGGUGAUACUUGAUUGUUCACACUUAAGAGUGAGGCACUUAAAAAGCAAAUGGGAAGCUUUGUGUGUAUUUGCAGUGUUUGUCAAUUGCUACUGUUUACUGGAGAGCAAUCAGUCAGGCACCUGGUCAUUUCACUGGGAGACUUAAAAAUGUCAGUAUAUAAGUCUUUUCUCCAAUCAGUUGGUUUUGUCAAAGGGGACUCUUCCAAUUCCCUGCCUAGGGAAUAUAAAUCUAGUUGCCAGUGCCCUAACUGCAAGUGAGGGAAAAAGGGUGGGAGUCUCACUAAUUAGUAUAUGGCAUGUAGACUUGACCUUGAUCAUCCUUUUUCAGCCUUACUCCUAUCCUCUACAAAACAUGGUAUCAUUGGGUCUGAAAAUCCCUGGCUCUAUUUCCCUAGAAAUUAAACCAGUUGCCUGCUGGGCUGGUUGGUGUACAGAAGAGGAGAAGGAUUCUGAGGGGUCAUCUCCAAUCCCAUUUUUUUUCAGCCCCAGCCUGCAUCCCUUUCUACAGAAGUAACAACAAUUUCCAGUUUCUGAGCCUUUCCAGGGUUGUACAGUAGGUAUUCAUUUGCUUUUUGAUAUUUUCCACAGCAAAGCAAACUUUCUUGCUGCUCUGUUAACUUCGUUACCACUCACCCGUCUGCCUUCUGUCUUCCAACAUUUUGUUGCUAGCUCUUGUCUGCUGUUGCCUCUUCUGUUCUCUUUAUCCUUCCAGGUUUUAUAAGAUUGUUUUUAUUCCUUUUCAGUCAUUUCAGAGAGGCUUCAGGAUGGAGUUGUGAUAAACGCAUGUGUUCAGUCUACAAUGUUUAACAGGGAGUGCCUCUUGAUUUUUUCAUGUGAAUUACUGAGGAGUAGGUAGUAGACUAUCUUGAUGCCCUUCCUCAUGUCCCUUUGACUCUGAGUUGACCUGCAGCUGCAGUGAACACUUCCUAAGGAUGCUGAUGUCUUCCCCUAUCAAGCACUUGCCUCAUUCUGCUUCUCCGAGGAUUUCCUCCAGUACACCAAGAGCUUGCCCGACACUCACAAGGUAUCCUGGAACUGCUGGGGACUGAAAACCCCUCAACCCAUGAAGAAUGAGGAUCAGUGGAUUAAUAGCAACUGUCCCAUACCUUGGUGGGACUAUUAUAAGGCAUUCUGGUUGGUUCCUCAGAGGUCCCAAAUGGGAUUGAACCAAAGUUGCCCACAGUAAAAACUCAUUCACCAACUCAAUUUUCAUUUCACCCCUCUCAAUUUGCACACUCACUCACUUGUUCUACCUGGGAUACUCUCCAAGAUAAACUCCUGUAUCCAAAGCUUUGUCUCAAGGUCUCAUUUGGGAGGAACUCAAACUAAGAUAAUAGGUACUGGAAGUGACUACAGAAAGUAUAUUAUCAAUGGUAUGGAGGCAACAAAAACCCCAUUAAUGGUGGUGAGUAAGGUGGUGACAAACCCUGGCACUUUGAAGAAUUUCAUUACCCACAAUUGACCCAUGGUGUACUUGGAUGAGGUAAAAAUGAAAGGAGACGCUAACCUUAUGCAAUAGUGCUAACUCCUGAAAGAUAUAGGGCUGUGAUAAUCACAGGAAUUGAAGAGUUGUCUUGUUCUUGUUAACUCCCCUAGAAGAAUUGGGAAAAAAGAAAGAUAGGUUUACAACAUCCAACUACCCAUUCAGAGCAUAGCAAUGAAAGCCAGAAGGUCUCCUUGGGAGAAUCUGAAGAGACCCCCAUUUCCUGCAACCAGAGGGCAGGCUGUUCUAAAAAAAUGACAUUCAGGGGUUCACUGCAAGAGGAAUUGAACUACAGAGCAGACUGAAGACACAGUCCAGGCAGGCCUCUCAUGCAAAAGUCAAAGCCCUAGAGGAAGGAAAUGGUCCUUAAAAACUACUGGGAUGCAGGCAGGCAUCUGGAUAGAUGUGCUAGAUAACCUUGAACCCCUAGAUUCCCUGAACAACCCAGGCUAGCAGGAGUAUCCUGCACCCUGUUACUUGAACAGAACAGCUUCCCUUUGCCUAGAGACUCUACACAGUCCUCCUCUGAAGCAGACACCUCCAAGAUUACUUCAAGGUCUGCUACUUCCUGCCCUCAUUGCCUCUAUUCCAAAAACUGGAAACAAGUCUCAGCAUGCCCUGAGCAGGGUAGCACAUUUCUUGCUGUGAGAGAUAUGACAGAUUGUAUUUUCUAAAGAAGGCUGCAACCAUGUCUCUCAUCCCAAAUGCUCUUCUACAAUGCAAUCUUGUCACUCCUCUACCAAGAGAUGAAACCUAAUUUCAAUGCCCUUGAAUCUAAGCUGGACUUUACUUGCUUUGACCUGUAAUGUACAGAAGUGACACUGUGUGAUUCUUACAGCUGAGUCAUAAAAGGUGAUGCAGCUUCUGCCUUGUUCCUGGGGACAUAUGCCUCUGUGAGAUUGAGCUACUAAAUAACAAGACCACCUACCUUGAGGCUGCCAUGCUGGAAGAAAGCAAAGCCACAUGAAGAGCAAUUCCUGGGAUCACCAAAUAAACUAUCUGUAAUCAAAUCUUUAUCUCACUCUGCAUUCUGGGGAACCCAAACAAAGAUGGUAAGUUUGCCUAUCUACAUUUAUGUCUUAUUUGCUACAAGUAUUACUGGUAAUUUUCUUGACAAAAGUAAUAUGAUAUCUGCUGAUAGGCCAAAAUAAUACAUAUUUAUAGUGAUAACUGCAGCAAAAAUGUGAAAACCAAUUUUAAAAAGUUAUUUUCACUAGUUUAAGAAAAAUGAAGAAAUUGAACUUUUAAAAAAUGCAGUAAUACCUCCUAACACAUUAUGAAGAGGAAUAUUUUCAUAACUGUAGAAAUGGUUGGUAAGGCUGUCAACUAUCCAAGGAUUAUAUUGAAAUAGCUGUCAUUGGCCAACUACUAUGACUAAUGAAAUCAACAUUUUCACCAUGCAGGCAAAAUAAACGUCAUGAGUCAAAUUUAAGAGGUAUUUCUUUUUUUCUUUAAAAGUUGUUGAACUAUCCAGGUUACUCAACCCUCAGUUUUUCAUUUUACAACAGAGUUUUCACAUACACAAAUACACAUACACACACAUUUGCAUUCAGACAUAUUCAGACAUACAUGCACACAUCUUUUAGCAUUUUAAAUAUUUUCAAAGUGUAGCUCUACAGACUCAUGCAUUUUAACUUUGGUAAUGCAUGCAGUAUUCCCUUUGGAAUGCAGCUUAUGAAGAAAUCCACGCUGGGGGCAAGUAUAUAGUAAUUCUUUCUUUAUCUCCUGCAUAUAUUAGGAAACCCUCCAGGAGGGUUAUUACUAAGACAAAUUUAGAAAGACCUCCACAUUCACAGAGACAAAAAUAUCAGCGGCAUCCUGAAAAAGCCAAUGAGUGAUCAAAAAUCAGAAAUAAACAAGCUUUGCUCAUUUUAAGCCAUAUAAAUAUUUGUUGAAUAAAUCCUGUUUUGUUUUCACUUUUGAUGGGAUGUUAGUUUGUGAAAUCAAAUGAUACCCAGAUUCUUUCUUCCCAUAGGUUUAUAAAUACCCAAAUAUGGCAUAUUUGACUCCAUAUACAGGCUUUGUUGAACAUGGAUUGUUUUUGUCUACCUUUCUCCAUUUCAAUCACAUGGUUCUAGUGUGAACUUCUAAUUAUGGACCCCUGAUCUCUCUGUUCCAGUCAAAGGGCAGGAAUGUGGUUAAUUACCAUGCAUCAUGCACUGUCUUUAGUGAUUAUUCUAAGAGGCUAUGAAAGGUAAACCAAUCAGAGGCCUUCACCAGGAUUCUGAAGUGGAGCUCCACAAGGAAGAAGAGCUUUCUUUGUUAAUGAUGAUGUCUGGAAGCAGCCAUGUAACUCCACCCCAUGGAGACAGCUGGUAUAGAAGAAUGAAGCCAAAUUGUAGGGACAGGUGAUACCAAGUGUAAGGUCCUCAGUUCUAGAGUUGGAGAAUCCCACUGCCCAACUCUGUGCACCCUGUCUUCUGGGGUUUGGUUGUUCCCUUCACAAGCUUUCUGGGAGCACCUAUUGUAUCUCUCCCCGUAUUCCUCCAUGGAGCUCAAAGUAAGCCACCUUGGGUUUCCACUGUUUACAACCAAGAGCUCUGAUAUAUGUGCUGCAUUUACUUUUGCUGUUUUAUCAAAUACUUACAAACUCAACUGCUUAAUUAGGCAAAGCAUUCUAUUGCUUUUCCUUUUUGAUAUCUCAGUAAUUGAUUUCUAAGGAAGAGAGGGCAUCUUGCUGGGAUUGUUUUCACCUAUUGCUCUUUUGCCCAGCCUCACCCAGCUCAGAUAUUGACUAAAGCCGUUCAACUCAGCUGGUCUGGCUACAGAGUACAGGGGUAGGUGCGCACCAUGGCUCAGGUGCAAUAACGACUGUAGCUUCCCAAAUUGUAAUGUCAGGUUACCAAUGUCGAGACGAAUUGGGAUUGCCUAAGUGAUUCCCUGGGUACACUCACCUUUUUACCCAAUGAUAAAAACGAGAGAUCUCAACAAAAUAGCUCUUAUCUAUUAUGCUGCAGACUGACAAUUCUUUUUUUUGUUUGUUUGUUUUUUUGAAGACAGAGUCUCACUCUG
rnacentral:lncRNA from 1 species